rnacentral:lncRNA from 1 species
AAAACAUAUGAGUUUUAGAAAAUGACAGUGAACCUACUCAAUCAUUAUUCUCACAGGCAACCCGGUCUCUUCUUCCUUGUUUCCUAAUUUAUUUUUCUCGUUUGCGUUAAUCCUUGACUUGAGAACAUUAAUAACUUACUUUAGUGUUAAUGUUCCCUUGAUUUAGGUGAGUCACGCUUCAAUUUUUUUUCAGUCAUUCCUUGCCAAAAAAACUGCUGCAUCAAUUAAUAGCUUACUAUAGGAAUAUUAACUUUGAAUUAUAA